GGAGGGGGUGGGUAUAAGCCGACUGAGGAGUAUGGAUCUGGGGGGAGAGUCGGAUAUCAGGCUCCGAGUUAUGGUCGGGAUGAGGAGGAGGCUAGUAGGAUCCAGAAGCCGAGCUACUAUGAUCCGGAUCAGGGCGAAGGAUUUGGGCAUUCUAAAUAUGGUAAUGACUCUGACGAGGAGAAAAAGAAGCACCACCAUGGCAGGCGCCACCACCAUCGCAGUUACGACGAUGAAUGAGGUUCCAGCGC
rnacentral:misc_RNA from 1 species